GGGGAAGUGUUGGAACUGGUAGACAAACCAGAUUUAAGCUCUGUGGACCCACAGGUCGUGAGGGUUCGAGUCCCUCUUUCCCCA
rnacentral:tRNA from 1 species